AAGAUGUUCAUACCAAUAAAUGUGGGGCUUUGAGUCCUCUAUUUUUCUUUUUUAGUUUGAAAACCAAGACAGGAAGAGCAGGAUCUUAGAAGACAGUGAAGACUGCUGACGGACACUCGCAAUCCAGCCACAUAAACGUUAGGAAGGAAUACUGGUCCUCAUGGAAGAAGAGCAAGACUUACCAGAACAACCAGU